rnacentral:lncRNA from 1 species
CUCCCAAAAUGGCUAGGUAAGUUAAGAUGAGUGAGGGUCUCCUUGUUACUUUCCAUAGACACCAAUAAAUUGGCUGGUUCACCAUCUAGAUACUUGCCUUAGACACCAACUUGAUUGAUUAGAAUCGAUCAUGUUAAUCUAUUGACCUAGACCCGAACUACUGAGCCAAAUUAGGUCUUGAGUCAAUCAAUUCAUAUCAAAAUGAGAAUCGAUACGACCAACUACAACUAAACUCGACUUUGAGCCCUUAGACCUAAUCCUAACCAACAAUUG